AUUCAAAAGUUAUUACAUAGCUGUUUCUUGUAGAUCAAAUUGUCGGAUCGUUGACGCUAAUCAUUAAUUCCAAAAGUUUGAGUUAUUAGAAAUACACAAUCAAUUCAAUUAAAGCGUACAGAUACAGCACCCACGGUUUACGAUUGUGAUUCGACCCAACCAAUCUUUAUGCCACUUCGAACAUGAUUUGACCCAACCCAGCCUCACGCCAUUUCGAAUAUGACUCGGCUAAUAUGGCCUCCCAUCACAGGGCAGGAUACUGACCCAUUUAAGCCAACAAUCCCCCUCCAACACCUAACCCGUGACCACUGGCUCUGAUACCACUUGUCGGAUCGUUGACAUUAACCGUUAAUCCCAAAAGCUCGAACUAUUAUAAAUACGUAACCAAUUCAUUUAAAGCGUACAGAUACAGCGCUCCCGGAUCUCGAUUGUGACUCGACCCGACCAACCUCACGCCACUUUAAAUAUGACUUGGCCCAAUCCAACCUCAUGCCAUUUCGAAUAUGACUCGACCCACAUGACCUCCCGCCGCAGGAUAGGCCCAUUUAAGCCAACACAAAUAACAACACCCCUUCGUGCAUUGUC
rnacentral:lncRNA from 1 species